rnacentral:rRNA from 1 species
GAUGAACGCUGGCGGCGUGCCUAAUACAUGCAAGUCGAGCGAACGGACGAGAAGCUUUCUUCUCUGAUGUUAGCGGCGGACGGGUGAGUCACACGUGGAUACCCGACCUAUGAGACUGAGAUAACUUCGGGAAACCUUAUCUAACACCGGAUAAUAUUUUGAACCGCAUGGUUCAACAGAGAAAGACGGUCUUGCUGACACUUAUAGAUGUAUCCGGGCUGGAUUAGCUAGUUGGUAAGGUAACGGCCUACCAAGGCAAAGAUGCAUAGCCGAUCUGAGAGGGUGAUCGGCCACACUGGAACUGAGACACGGUCCAGACUCCUACGGGAGGCAGCAGUGGGGAAUAUUCCACAAUGGGCGAAAGCCUGACGCAGCAACGCCGCGUGAGUGAUGAAGGUCUUCGGAUCGUAAAACUCUGUUAGUAGGGAAGAACAUAUGUGUGAGUAAAUGUGCACAUCUUGACGGUACCAAAAGAGAAAGCCCCGGCUAACUACGUG